AGCGCACGAGAGUGGUUGAGCUUGAAAUCACUUGGGAAGCUUGAAAGCACUUGAUUUCUUCACUUGAAUGCUCUCACUCCCUUGAACUUUUCUCUCUUGAAUGAUUUUGCUUUGGGUUGGUAAAAAGUUGUUGAGAAGCACUUAAGAGCUCCCUUUUAUAGCCCAAAAAGCAAAUAUAGCCGUUAGAGAUAAAGUAGAGAAGAUUUGAAAUUCAAAUCAAACCUGAAAAGUUGUCAGUCGCGUUCCAGACGCUCCGGGGACGUCUCCGCUACAACGAGAGACGUCUCGGCUACUGGAUUUUACUUUUUCCGUUGUUUGGGGUCGACUCGGCACUUUACGGGGACGUCUCGGCUUGUCUGCACUUUUUGAGUGGGGACGACUCCGCUGC
rnacentral:lncRNA from 1 species